UCCCUGGUGGUCCAGUGGCUAGGACUCAGCACUUUCAUUGCUGGGACCCAGGUUUGAAUCCUGGUUGGGGAA